rnacentral:lncRNA from 1 species
AUGGGCCUGGGCUGUUUCCCCACACUUCCCUUCCCUCCGGGCCUGGUGCAGGGGUGGGUUGGUCAUCCUUCUCGGCUCAAAGUCCCCCAGCCUGUGACCUCAGGCUUCUCGUCACUGUCGCCCAGGCCUCAGGACAUCUCGAACCCACAGCCAGGAGAGCGAGCGUGGAGCGGCCUGGACUGGACCUGCCCUCUGCACAGCUGUGAACUUGUGUCGCUGCGGUCUCUGAACCAGACGCUGCAGACUCAGCUGGCUGGCGCCCUGAGGACCUGGAGGCCCUGCAGGGCUGAGAACAGGAAGCUGCUGGAGACCCUCCACGAGAAAGAACAGGAGGCACUUGCCGGCAAGCAGCGCUGGGACGCCGAGGCUGCCAAGGCUCAGAGUGAGCUGGACGCUGCACUGGCCCAGGUGAAACGGUCCCAGCUUCAGCUCGACGCAGCCGAGAAGAGGAAUUGCAUCUUAGGCAUCACGCUCCGCCAGCGGAGACUGCGAGGCGAACCGGCAGAGGGAGCUGACCAGGACGAUGCAGUCCAGCAUGGCCAAGCUGCUCUCAGAGCUGAGCGUGGACAGCCGCUGCCCCAAGGCUAAGGCCGAGCCCCGCUUGACCCGGGCCCUCCUGGGAGGUCCACACCAGCGGUCUCCCCCAGACCCUUCCCCGCCCUGCGCGUCUGUCAUGAGCUUCCUGCGGCAGCUGGACGCAAGCAGGGCCCACCCCUUCCCGGGCCGGGCGGGCAUUCCGAAAUGGCGAGGACCCCGGCGGACCCAGCAUCUGGACUAGACGAGACCAUGUACCUUUCCCUGCCACAGGAAGGCCUGGGGUCUGGCGGAGGGGUGUGCCUGGCCCCACCAGACAGUGCAGGGCUGGACAGUUCCCAGGGCAUGGCCACCUCCGGGAAGCCGGACGCCCCAUGGAUGGGGCCGGAUGCUACACCCACCUCUGAGUGGGUCCAGGCGGCCACUGGGGCCGACGUGCAGCUUCUGCUCAGGAUGAAGGAGGCGAUCGCCCACGUCCCCAUCCCGGGGGAGUGGCCCUUGGGGUCCAAGGGGGCGGGACCGCCGCGGGCCCCCAAGUUCUGUGAGCGAGCCCCAGCCUCGGCCCCCGGUGGCCCGGAUCCCAACUUCCCGGCGGGGCAGUCAGAGUGGAGUGCCUCAUCUUUCUCCACCUUCACAUCGCUCGAUGAGCAGGACUUCCGGGCCGGCCUGGCAGCACUGGAUGCCAACAUCGCAAGGCUGCAGCAGGCACUGCGGACUGGCCUGGCAAGGAGAUGACCCUGGUCUCCGUGGGGUCUGUGUGGAGGCAGGGGGAAGGCGGGAGCGGGAGGGCUGGGAUCGGGGGGGUGACAUUGAAUUAUGAGUGGGUUGGAGUGAUCAGUGAAAUAAACGAGAUUCAUUACUGCCUGAACCAAGGGGCUGCUGUGGACGGUCAAGCGUGGGGCUCCCCAUUCAUUCAGGAGGCAUUGAACAUCUGCCCGAUAAUAAUAAUAAUAAUUGUGGUAUCGAUUAAGAGCUCAUUAUGUGCCAGGCAUUAUACUAAGCAUGGGGAUGGAUAUAAGAAAAUCGAGUUGGACGAGGUCCCUUUCCCACUUGGGGCUCACAGUCUUAAUCCCUAUUUUUACAGAUGAGGUAACUGAGACCCAGAGAAAUGAAGUGACUUGCCCAAGGUCAUACAUCAGGCAAGUCUGUCAAUCGUAUUUAUUGAGUGCUUACUGUGUGCAGUGCAUUAUACUUAGUGCUUGGGAGAGUGCAAUAUAACAGACAUUCCCUGCCCACAACAAGCUGACAGUCUAGGGGGGAGGCAGACAUUCCUUCAGUUGUAUUUACUAAGCACUUACUGUGUGCAGAGCACUGUACUAAGCACUUGGGAAAAUACAAUACAACAAUAAACUGACAUUCCCUGCCCACCACGGGCUCACAGUCCUUGCAGGCAUCACAGUGUGGGCACCGAAAGUUAGCAAAUCAUGAACACCAGGAAAGUAGCACGGCCUAGUGGAGAGAAUCCAGGCCUGGGAGUCAAAGGACCUGGGUUCUAAUCCUAGUUUCGCCUGCUGUAUGUAAAUUUGGGCAAGUCACUUCACUCCUCUAGAUAUGGACAUAAGAAGUGUGGGACUGUGUCCCAAGGUGACUGCGGGGUACCCACCAUCCAAAGUCAAAUGCUAUCUCGUAACCGCCCGACCCAGCAGGCGGAACUUGGAAUUGCGGGAUACUGCCCCAUGAUGCUUAUCAUCCCUAACCACCAUAUGAUCUCUACGCUCACCAAUUCUCAAAUCCCUCUCUCUGACCACAACCUCCUCACCUGCCUUUCUGUCACACACACACCACACCCACACCCCCCACAAAUAUGUCCCGUUCUGUCCUGGUGAGCACUGUACUAAGAGCUUGGGAGAGUACCGUGCAACAGAGUUGUCAGACACAGUCCUUGCACACACUGAGUUUACAGUCUAGACAGGAAGCUGGACAAUUAGUAUAAAUAUGUAAAUUAUAAUACACAAUUCAUAGAUAUGGACAAAAGCGCGUGUACGCAGACAGUGCAGAAGGGAGAGGGAGGUGGGGAAUAGACAGCUUAAUCGUGGAAGGCCUCUGCUGGACUCUCCUGUGUAAGCAGCACAGUGCUCUACCUAAAGUAAAGGCAUCUCAUUUGAGUCUCUCCUCUUGCUCAUUGAGCCAACUGGAUUCAGCUGUGCCUCCCUCUAUUCAGGGAACCACUGGGCUGAUUUGCAUUGCAGGCAGUUGCCCUGGGGAUUUGGCUGGCCCGAUGCCCAGUCACCGGUUCUGACAUGGUUUCGUCCCAGCGAGCCUGGGUCAGCCAAGGCCUGGAUUAUCGGAUUGCUGAAGCCCUGGGGUGGGGGGACUGCCCACCUGUCACCCCCCACCUCCAGUCCCAUAGAGAUGAUCUGCUGGGGAGAAGCUGGCCACCAACAAGUUGUGGGAGAGAGAGAAUUACGGAAGCCCCUAGUUGAGACCACAGACAAUGUCUGCCAGGCUUGUGAGUGCCUCCCCUGGAGCUGGACCCUCAAAGUGACCCUGUAGCAUGGCUUGGUUUCCUCUAUGUUGGGGUAGGGGCUCCUAGGUGGGUGGGAGGGUUGGGAGUGUGUGAGAUUGAAGAUACGGGAACCCCUGUAGCUACAGUACUGCAAAGGUUUGUGAGUGAAUGUAUGUGUGUGUUCAUGUAUAUAAAUGUGUGGAGGAAAGAGCGUGCUUGUGAAUCUGUGGGGGAUAGUAUAUGAUCCGUGCCUGUGAAGGGGGUAGUGAACUGUGACUGUGGGGGGGGGGGGGGUUAGUGUGUGAAUCUGAGAUGAUAGGUAAUCCGUGACUGUGUGUGGACAUUGGUGAAAUGCGGGGAGGGAGCAGGACGGGGAUCUCGGCCAGCAUUAGUGAGGGGUUCGGGAUGAGUCUCCCCUGCAAUGCCCCAUCUUGGUCAUGAGAGGACUGUGAGUUGGCAACAUUGCCACGUUUGGAAGUUUGGGGCCAUAAGGAGGUCCCCUCAGACUAGAUCAGUCCAGUUGCCGGUCCCAGUAGUGCAUCCCGUUUCCAGAGUUUCCCUGAGGGUAGCGGAUUUUGUUGCCCCAAGUCCCUAGAAGCCUGAUGAAACCCACAAGGCCUAUAAUCACUCCUGGACUCCCACCAGACUCUAGAAUCAUCCCCAGACCCCACAGAACCCUAGAAUCAACCCCCAGACCACCAUGGGACUCUACAAUCACUCCCAGACUUCAUGGGACCCUACCACCACGCCCGGGACCCUUCAGGACCCUAGAAUCACUCUUGGACCCCCACAGGACUCUACAAUCAUUUCUGCACAUCUUCCCCCCAUUGGACCCUACAAUCAUUCCCAGAUCCUCACAGGACUCCACAAUCCCUUCCAGACCCCAAGGAACCUGCAAUCACUUCCAAAUGCCCACAGUACCCUAUAUUCUCUCCCGGACCCUCAUGGGACCCUAAAAUCACUCCCAGGCCCCCAGGGGGAUCGUGGAGGCCCCUACAGACCCCGACAGAACCCUACAAUCACUCCCGGGCCCCUACAAUACUAUACAAUCACUCCCAGACCUGCAUGGGACUCUAUAAUCACUCCAGGACCCCCAGGAGAUCGUGGGGAUACCCCAGACCCCCAGCCCUCAACACUUGGAGGGAAAUUUUGUCCCCCAGGCUGGCAUGAGACCAUCAUCCUCAUCAUUAUCAAUAUGGUCAUGACCGUCAUAAUCAUUAAUGGUAUUUAUUGAGCACUUGCUAGGUGCAGAGCACUGUACUGAGUACUUGGGAGACUACAAUACAACUGUCGUGUCAGACAUGUUCCCUGCUCACAAGGAGCUCACAGUCUAGACAUUAAUAUAAAAAAAAUUUAUAAUGUAUAAUUAAAUAUAUAUAUAUACAUAAGUGCUUUGCAAUCACUCAUCCUAUCCCACCUAGAUUACUGCAGCAGCCUCCUUGCUGACCUCCCAGCCUCCUGUCUCACCUCAUUCCAGUCAUUCAUUCAUUC